GAAGGAAAUUAAGUACGGAAGUUCCUGAUUUCACGCUGUCAAGAAAAGCCUCUAGGAAGAGUAGUACUGCCCGUACCGCAAACCGACACAGGUAGAUGAGGAGAGAAUCCUAAGGUGAGCGAGAGAACUCUCGUUAAGGAACUCGGCAAAAUGACCCCGUAACUUCGGGAGAAGGGGUGCUCUAUUAGGGUGCAAGCCCGAGAGAGCCGCAGUGAAUAGGCCCAGGCGACUGUUUAGCAAAAACACAGGUCUCUGCAAAACCGUAAGGUGACGUAUAGGGGCUGACGCCUGCCCGGUGCUGGAAGGUUAAGAGGAGUGCUUAGCUUCGGCGAAGGUACGAAUUGAAGCCCCAGUAAACGGCGGCCGUAACUAUAACGGUCCUAAGGUAGCGAAAUUCCUUGUCGGGUAAGUUCCGACCCGCACGAAAGGCGCAACGAUCUGGGCACUGUCUCAACGAGAGACUCGGUGAAAUUAUAGUACCUGUGAAGAUGCAGGUUACCCGCGACAGGACGGAAAGACCCCGUGGAGCUUUACUGCAACCUGAUAUGGAAUGUUUGUACCGCUUGUACAGGAUAGGUAGGAGCCGAAGAGACGUGUGCGCUAGCAUACGAGGAGGCAAUGGUGGGAUACUACCCUGGCUGUAUGACCAUUCUAACCCGCCACGCUUAGCGCGUGGGGAGACAGUGUCAGGUGGGCAGUUUGACUGGGGCGGUCGCCU
rnacentral:rRNA from 1 species